AGCAGAGUGGCGCAGCGGAAGCGUGCUGGGCCCAUAACCCAGAGGACUGUGGAUUGAAACCACCCUCUGCUA
rnacentral:tRNA from 1 species